GCGACUGAUUAGAAGCUUGCUUCUAUGACGUUAGCGGCGGACGGGUGAGUAACACGUGGGCAACCUGCCUGUAAGACUGGGAUAACUCCGGGAAACCGGAGCUAAUACCGGAUAACAUUUUUUCUUGCAUAAGAGAAAAUUGAAAGAUGGUUUCGGCUAUCACUUACAGAUGGGCCCGCGGUGCAUUAGCUAGUUGGUGAGGUAACGGCUCACCAAGGCAACGAUGCAUAGCCGACCUGAGAGGGUGAUCGGCCACACUGGGACUGAGACACGGCCCAGACUCCUACGGGAGGCAGCAGUAGGGAAUCUUCCGCAAUGGACGAAAGUCUGACGGAGCAACGCCGCGUGAGUGAUGAAGGCUUUCGGGUCGUAAAACUCUGUUGUUAGGGAAGAACAAGUACAAGAGUAACUGCUUGUACCUUGACGGUACCUAACCAGAAAGCCACGGCUAACUACGUGCCAGCAGCCGCGGUAAUACGUAGGUGGCAAGCGUUAUCCGGAAUUAUUGGGCGUAAAGCGCGCGCAGGCGGUUUCUUAAGUCUGAUGUGAAAGCCCACGGCUCAACCGUGGAGGGUCAUUGGAAACUGGGGAACUUGAGUGCAGAAGAGAAAAGCGGAAUUCCACGUGUAGCGGUGAAAUGCGUAGAGAUGUGGAGGAACACCAGUGGCGAA
rnacentral:rRNA from 2 species